rnacentral:rRNA from 1 species
CCUACGGGAGGCAGCAGUGGGGAAUCUUGCACAAUGGGCGAAAGCCUGAUGCAGCGACGCCGCGUGAGCGAAGAAGGCCUUUGGGUCGUAAAGCUCUGUCCUAAGGGGAGAAGGAAGUGACGGUACCUUAGGAGGAAGCCCCGGCUACCUACGUGCCAGCAGCCGCGGUAAUACGUAGGGGGCAAGCGUUAUCCGGAAGUAUUGGGCGUAAGGAGUACGUAGGCGGUUCUUUAAGCGCAGGGUUUAAGGCGAUAGCUUAAAUAUCGUUCGCCCGGUGCACUGGGGGACUUGAGUAUCGGAGAGGAAAGCGGAAUUCCUAGUGUAGCGGUGAAAUGCGUAGAGAUUAGGAGGAACACCAGUGGCGAAGGCGGCUUUCUGGACGAAAACUGACGCUGAGGUACGAAAGCGUGGGGAGCAAACAGGAUUAGAUACCCCAGUAGUC